AACGCGAAGAACCUUACCUGGGCUCGAACGGCUUAAGAAAGACUGUGGAAACACGGUUUCUCCCGCAAGGGACUUGAGUCGAGGUGCUGCAUGGCUGUCGUCAGCUCGUGCCGUGAGGUGUUGGGUUAAGUCCCGCAACGAGCGCAACCCUUAUCAUUAGUUGCCAACACGCAAGGUGGGGACUCUAAUGAGACUGCCUAGGUUAACUAGGAGGAAGGUGAGGAUGAUGUCAAGUCCGCAUGGCCUUUAUGUCUGGGGCUACACACGUGCUACAAUGGUCGGUACAGAAGGUAGCAAGACCGCGAGGUGGAGCAAAUCCGUAAAACCGAUCUCAGUUCAGAUUGUAGUCUGCAACUCGGCUACAUGAAGCUGGAAUUGCUAGUAAUGACGUGUCAGCAACAACGUCGUGAAUACGUUCCCGGGCCUUGUACACACCGAUAGC
rnacentral:rRNA from 1 species